GGAUGAGUGGCCGAGCGGUUUAAGGCACUGGUCUUGAAAACCAGCGAGGGGAAACCCUCCGUGGGUUCGAAUCCCACCUCAUCCGCCA
rnacentral:tRNA from 1 species